UCUGCUUGGGCUGCAUUUUGGGUCAUUGUAGUCGGCUUAGUUCUGGCCGCUUCAGGGGCAUACCUUGUCUACAAAUAUAGAAUUAGGGUAAGUUUGGUUGCAUUCUCCCUGUUUGGUGAUGUUAUAUGACGCCUUUUUUUUCUUUUUUCUUUCCUUUCUAUGUUUAUACAAGAUUUAUGACAUUCUAUGAAAUCCAUUAAUUUCGAUACCAGCUUUUUUGUUUAAAAAUCAAAUUCAGAAACAUGAAAGUGUAUUCGACAAAUUCUGUGGAGAAGCAAGAGUCUUUCUUAAAUCACUUCAUAGUAUUUGAUUGGCUAAAAUUAACUGUAUUUUUCUUGUAUUUUUGCAGUCAUACAUGGAUUCUGAAAUAAGGGCCAUCAUGGCUCAGUAUAUGCCCUUGGACAGCCAAUCAGAAGUUGUAAAUCAUGUCAACGAUGAAAGAGCAUGAAAGUGAAAACAUGUCAGCCUGUUGGCAGAGUUGUGUGUUGAGAAAUGAGACCUGGUUGUGGCAUACCUUGUACCUUUUUCACUUUUCAGAAUUCUGAGCAUUGAAUUUAAUUAAUAGACUGUAUCAUAUGAACAAUAAAAGGCUGAGAAUUAGAUAGAUGUCAUGUAUUAUUCGGAAUGUAGCAAGUUGUAUACUUGAAAGGACUGAAUUUAGG
rnacentral:lncRNA from 1 species